rnacentral:rRNA from 1 species
AUUGAACGCUGCGGCAGGCUUAACCCAUGCAAGUCGAGCGAGCGGCGGACGGGUGAGUAAUGCUUAGGAAUCUGCCUAUUAGUGGGGGACAACCUCUCGAAAGGGAUGCUAAUACCGCAUACUAAUCGAUGCGCCUAAGUCGGCUUAGCUAGUUGGUGGGGUAAAGGCCUACCAAGGCGCCGAUCUGUAGCGGGUCUGAGAGGAUGAUACGCCAAACUGGGACGGAGACACGGCCCAGCCGCCGACGGGAGGCAGCAGUGGGGAAUAUUGCACAAUGGGCGCAAGCCUUAUGCAGCCAUGCCGCGUGUGUGAAGAAGGCCUUCGGGUUGUAAAGCACUUUCAGCGGGGAGGCGUUACCCGCAGAAGAAGCACCGGCUAACUCCGUGCCAGCAGCCGCGGUAAUAC